GGCCACUUUAUCUGGCAGGGUUGGUCUUGGACACUCUGCCCGUAUCCUCUUACGGAUAUGUUUUUCCAAAGCUUUUCUGAUCCAAAAAUGCAUGAAGCGGAGAUGAUCCGGAGGGGCCCACUCACCCGAUCGAGGGUGGCGAAUCUUCCUGGGAUCAAACAUUCUCUGGUCAGUGGAGUCCAGGAAUAUCUCCUGCGUGGCGGGGGAGGGUUCCGCAUCUCCUUUCUGCUGGGGCUCACCCAGAAAUGUCUCAGUGACGUAGGCGUUGGAGCCCCAACCGCCUUCGUCAGAGUCGGAGGUUUCAGCCUGCCACUCAUCCAGAACGGAGAGAGAGGGGGGCACGUCUUGCUC